GUCUAUGGCCAUGCCACCCUGAACAAGCUCCCAUCUGAUCUCAGAAGCUAAGCAGGGUCAGGCCUGGUUAGUACUUGGAUGGGAGACCACCUAGAAAGACAAGGUGCUGUAGGGG
rnacentral:rRNA from 1 species